rnacentral:lncRNA from 1 species
UACAAGUCCUGGAGUUGCCAUCCAGCCCAUGAUGGAGAUGGAUUUAAGGGAUCUCAGGAUCUCACUCAGGGGAUACGAACUCUCAGGUCAGCACCUUUCUCUUCUUAUGGAGACAUCUAAAUUACAACCAGAGUCACAUCACCAGGUGAGCUCAAGCAGAAGACCUUGAGGGCAAAGCAUCCCCUGAAGAGAACCAAAACGACUCCCUCAAGCAAUUAAGACUGCCCUGGGCCAGCAAGACCCUCACUGUGAUUGACUCCAAGACAGUGAUCUACUCGAUCUUCACUGUCUACCUGCAGGUACCCACCCACCUUUGUCCCACAUUUUCCUUACAUAAACAUGGAAUUAUUUUUGGUACUUUGG